rnacentral:lncRNA from 1 species
UUUUUUUUUUUUUUUUUUAGAUGGAGUCUUGCUCUGUCACCCAGGCUGGAGUGCAAUGGCGCAAUCUUGGCUCACUGCAACUUCCACCUCCUAGGUUCAAGCAAUUCUCAUGCCUCAGCCUCCCAAGUAGUUGAGAUUACAGGCGCCUGCCACCAUACCCAGCUUUUUUAUAUUUUUAGUAGAGACAGGGUUUCACCAUCUUGGCCAGGCUGGUCUCGAACUCCUGAUCUCAGGCGGUCUGCCCGCCUUAGUCUCCCAAAGUGCUGCGAUUACAGGCAUGAGCCACAGUGCCCGGCCCCAUAAUGUCCCUUUGAAGCAGAGGAGAAUCAGUCCCUUAUAAUCCUCAUUAUAUAAAAAGAAGAAGCGAGCAGAGUGGGAGGUAGGCGGAUAAGUUGACUUGCCCAAGAUCACCCUGUCGAUUGAUCUGACUUCAUCUGCAACCAGCCACAUAGCGUCUCCAAAGCAGGUCAUCAGACAAGGAAAAGUGAUUGGGGAUUCAAAUAAAACAAAUGACUACUCAUGCUAUAGUUAGCACUAUGUGCUGUUCUGAACUCUGCUGUGGAACACCUGUAGUACUUUUCAUACUAUUCACAUGCAUUACCUGGAAUACUCCAGUUUUCAACAUUGCCUGCUUCAGUUCCUUAAACCUUAGAAAUAUCCAGACAUGCCAAUAUUAUGAGACCAAACUAUAUCUUAAACUGUUUUUCCUGUUGAGGAGUAUGAAAGAACUCUUCACUGUAGCACAGGUCCCAGUUUUUGGUUGGAAUAUAGUCACCGUAAUUUUCACUGUCAAUAAAUACUGCUGGCUAAUUCAGAGGUGACCUGUGGAAGCAACACAUGCUCUAAGAACUCCUGUUUCCACUGUCUGGCAUUAUUAGUGUGUCCUUACUUAGACCUAGCUCUUCCAGAGAGAGAGCCAUCUGCUUCUCAAUGACUGCGUAAUGGUGUUGACUUCUAGAGAAGAGUAGCCCAAGAGCCAAAUAUUAGAGGUCUUACUGCUUCCCUUAAGUGCAUGGCAAGAGAAAGAGGGAAAGCAAGGUGAUAAAAGGACUGACUUGCUUUGCCAAUGGCCCAGCACUGGUCCAUUUUAUAAAGUCUAGCACAAAAACCACUCUUUUGAAUUAGAUACUGUGUAUAUCCUGUGUACUUCAAGUCAUAC